ACAAGCUGUAGAAUUAUUUUUAAAAUUCUUACCACGUUUGAAACUAAGCGUGUAAAAUAGAUUGAUAGCUGUUUCUCGAGUCGUUGGUGGUUGGUGGCCUGGUUAAUUCCGAUAAUGAACCGAACUGAAAUGCGUUUAAUUUUCUAUUCUAUUUAAGAUGCUUUCAGGAUUAUGGUGUUACAGAUUUAUGGCUUUAAUUUACGAGCAUAGUAAAAUGUUUUUAUAAAAGUGAAACCGUAUCUGUUGGUUUGUCUUUUUACAGGACCCUAGUUUCUUAAAUAGAGAAAUUGCGUCUACCAAUAAUGGGAUUCAGGAACCACAAGUUUGUGAUGCCCUUAAAUACCUUGGACUGUAUGCGUACUACAAUGAAGGUAUCAGGGUGUAUUUCCUAAACAAAGAUGUCCCGGGCAAACCGCUGCACUAAUUUCAUGGUUGGAAUUGUGAACUGAAGCGGUUCGCAUGAACUUCAAAUUCGCAGUUAUAAGAUAAGCCAUUAACUCACAUUGAUUACGUCCC
rnacentral:ncRNA from 1 species